CGACUGCGGCCGCCCCCGCUGUGGGGGUCUCGGCGGCGGGGCCCACCCCGCACCCGCGGGCCGAGGGGCGGCGGGGGAGGAGGCGUAGGCCGGGCUUGGCCGCCGUGCGAGGCCCCUUGUGCGUGUCUCCCCGUCCGGCGGGCUGUUCCGGUGAAGUUGGGAGACACCUCUUGUAAAAAUCCAGAGCUCUCCCCUCUCUUGCAGUAGCAGUAACAUACGUGCCUCUCCCUGUGAGGUGGCGUGGAACAGCCAUGCUGAAGGAAACACUGACCUUUUUGGUUCGAUUUACCGGAGAGGGGCUUGGACAACACAGUGGUCAGCUUGCUGAUUGCCAGUCUGCUUUGCUGCUCCAACCUGUGCACCGUUUGGUGAGGUCAGGUGUAGGAACAGGAAUCAGAAGGAUGACAUUCCAAGAACAGGAGUAAUGCAUAGAUGGAUGGAAUCAAAUUUCUUUCCCCAUAAUUUUUAAUGUUCGGGUGAUGCUGAGAGACAUUUGAUUGGGCAGGGGCAGUCUGGAGUCACUCUUCCCUGAGUCGUGCAGCAGAACCACAACAGGUAAGAGUCACAAGUUGCAACAGGAAAAUUUGUCUAACUAUAAAGAAAUGACUUCUCCCAUGAAGACAGUUAAACACUGGAAUCAGUUUCGCAAGUUGUGGAAUCUCCAGCCUUAGAAGUAGUCAAAGCUAGACUCACAAGAUAAAUGAAUCCCUUAAGAUCUAAAUUAUUCUGUGAUUCUAUUAAUUCAGAACUGUUUACAACACGGUGCCUGAUGUGUUGAUGUAGGAA
rnacentral:lncRNA from 1 species